AUAUACAUAUAUAUAUAUGUAUAUAUAUAUAUACAUACAUAUACUACUAAUAUUAUUCACAAUAAUGACAGGAUGAUUAAUGAUAAUAAUAUAAAUGAAAGGAAAAAAAACUAUAUAAAAAGCAAUAAAUUAUUUUUCAGAGUUGUAUUUUAGCUCCUAUUGUUGUGUGAUUUUUGGACUUGACCCAUUACCCAGUCGCUGGUAGUUAGGAUGACUCCAUUCCCCCCAGCAUCUCGGCAUCUCGUCACCGUGGCGUGACCUUGCGCGGUAAAACACUUGAAUAUGUCGUCGCCCACCCGCUCUUCCCUUUAAGACGUAACUGAGUCUGUGUAUGUCGUAAUGCACGCGUUGCUUUGUGACAUCAGUGCACAUGUGACCGGCUCUUAACCCCAACCCCGUGUGUUUAAAAUGUGUCGAGUUGAACGUGUUUGUUGUGUUAGUGCAUGGCUAUUACAGGACGACACGCCGGUGCGGUGUAUACACCACUUUGGAUAACUGCCUCUCAGCUCUUAACUUGGCAGAUUUUAAAUGACGCUCUAUAAAGCCUAGUAGAAGAAGAAGAAAAAAAAUCUACUCAACAAUGUAUCGCAUGCUGCACCCCUCCUCCCCACUCACACACACACACAGUCCAGAUAUCACAGCGCCGUCGACAUGACAUAAAAGGUAACCUUGCGGUUUCUGGUUCAAUUAAUAUCCCGUUUCGAGCGCGAGCCAAGUAAUGAGAGAACCGGCUUCCAUCACAGGAAGGAAAAAAAAAACUUUUGUAUAAAAGCUUUGCUGAUCACAAGCUUCCUUUCAUCGAGUUUGAUUGUGGAGACAAGAAACAGCUAAUUUUUGUGAUGCAAAGAGGCAAAAAUUGGUUUAGGGAUGGAUUUCCCUCCAAAAAAAUAAAAGAAAGAAAGAAAAAAAAUCCCUUUACCUGUGUUUUUUAAGACAUUGUUUUACUUUUUUGCUGUCUGUAUAGCGUUUGGGUAAUGGUGUCGUGUCCCAUUUGAUAGAUGUGGCUUUAAUCAUUGUAAUAAUAAAGAAAAAAAAUGCUUUGUAAAUUGCGUAGAGUAGCAAUAUAUUAUAACACCUUAUGGUUCAAAUUUCAACUGUGGCGGACUUUUUAAUAAUAUGGACGACAUUGCCACUGCUUAAACGUUUGUUGGGUAAUCAUGUUUUCUUUUUUCUUGUUUUUUUUUUGGAAGGACAAUAUGUUUAUUGGAAAAUGUAUGCGUGUGUGUGUAUGUCGGUGUGUGUGUGAGUGUGUGUGUGUGUGUGUGUGUUUGUGGGGGGAGGGAGGGGAGGGCCAAGGGGUCGCUGUGGGUUGUUACCUGUUUGUGUCCUAUCCACGUUGCCUUCUGCCAAGUCCUUACCAAUGCCUUUGUGGUUCUACCUAUUGUACGACUUUCUUGUGAAUUUUAUUUUUUAUGUGCAAUUCUCAUCAGCCUCACCAUGCCAAUAAAGGGAAAUGUGUUUGAAAAAAACAAAACCCAACCAAAAGAACUUUCUCUCCUUUCGGCGCCUUGCCUAUUAUCUUCCUUUCCUUGUGAUGAAUGUCCCUUCAUCAAGCGCCGUUGUACCGUUUUCACUCAGCGCUGAGGAAUGAUUAUGAUUUCCUCUCCCUCUGAUUACUAUCAAGGAGACAUCCUUGAUUUUUUUUUCUCUUUCUUUUUAACGGGAGAUUUAAAAGUUAUGAAAACAAUUCACGCCGCAAAUGUGAAUUCGCAACAUAUUUAUCAUCCUCCCCCCCACCCCCUUUCCUCCCGGCCGUGCUUCUGUAUCACUGAGCUGACUGACGCGGGAGAAGUGACACAAGUCCGUCCUCAGCACAUCUGUCUCCUAAUAAAGAAAGUCGGCUUAAUGCAGAGCAGCUUCCCCUCUUUGAAAUUCACAUCACCUGGGAGAGGAGGCGGCAGUCUUCUUUUUGUCUGUGUCCACAACUUGACUCCACACCACGAGCGUGCAAGUUAAUUAAAAAGUUAGGGGGAACAAUUUCAUUAACACGAUGGAGAGCUAUAGUGAGUUGAUGGUGUGCUUGAUAUUCAAUGAGGCUUCAUUAUGACUAUAACAAUCCUGUCUUUUUCUUUAACACACACACUCACACACACUAACGCACACCCUCUAGCCUGGGAGAUGGAAUCGCACCAGGAGCUUCCACCGUCUCCUUUUCUUUUCUGCUGGCACAAAGGGAAAUAUGGGAAGAAUGUGCAUUAAACUGUAAGGUUGGGGGUCUGAUUGUGUUUUUUAUUAAGGCCGCUGUUUAGCCCCGGAGAAGAGAGCGGCUGGCUUUCAUUUCGGCUUGGCUGCCGCGUUACAGCGGGAGGUCUCCUUCUGCUUGCCCUUUCCACAGAAUGAAACUGUCCCUGGAAAUCUCUGCUCCCUGUCAUGAUAGGAUGGCUUCUUCUUCUUCUUCUUCUUUUUUUAUCUGUUAUAUGUCUUUUUUAUUAUUAUUAACCAGUAGAUAAGCAGCUAUCUCUACUCCAGUUGGAGGUAAGUGGUAGCCUUGGAGAUAAUGGGGUUUGAUGGGGCUGGGCUCUCUGUGGG
ensembl:lncRNA